AGCCCGUGGGCCCCCGGGGACUCUACGGGAGGCAGCAGUAGGGAAUCUUCCGCAAUGGACGAAAGUCUGACGGAGCAACGCCGCGUGAGUAAAGAAGGCUUUCGGGUCGUAAAACUCUGUUGUUAGGGAAGAACAAGUACAAGAGUAACUGCUUUACUUGACGGUCCAUAGCAGAAAGCCACG
rnacentral:rRNA from 1 species